GUGGGGAAUAUUGGGCAAUGGGGGAAACCCUGACCCAGCAACGCCGCGUGAAGGAAGAAGGCUUUCGGGUUGUAAACUUCUUUUAUGAGGGACGAAGAAGUGACGGUACCUCAUGAAUAAGCCACGGCUAACUACGUGCCAGCAGCCGCGGUAAUACGUAGGUGGCAAGCGUUGUCCGGAUUUACUGGGUGUAAAGGGCGCGUAGGCGGGAUAGCAAGUCAGGUGUGAAAUCCGGGGGCUUAACCCUCGAACUGCACUUGAAACUGUUAUUCUUGAGUGAUGGAGAGGCAAGCGGAAUUCCUAGUGUAGCGGUGAAAUGCGUAGAUAUUAGGAGGAACACCAGUGGCGAAGGCGGCUUGCUGGACAUUAACUGACGCUGAGGCGCGAAAGCGUGGGGAGCAAACAGGAUUAGAUACCCUAGUAGUCC
rnacentral:rRNA from 1 species